GAGCGGUAAUACGAGAGCUCCAAGCAUUAUCCGGAAUUAUUGGGCGUAAAGGGUGCGUAGGUGGUUGUGUUAGUCGUACGUCAAAGCCCCGAGCUUAACUUGGGAAAGGCGUCCGAAACGGCACGACUAGAAUAAGUGAGAGGUGUGCGGAACUCAAGGUGUAGGGGUGAAAUCCGUUGAUAUCUUGGGGAACACCAAAAGCGAAGGCAGCACACUGGCACUUUAUUGACACUCAAGCACGAAAGCGUGG
rnacentral:rRNA from 1 species